UCUACGGGUGGCAGCAGUGAGGAAUAUUGGUCAAUGGACGCAAGCCUGAACCAGCCAUGCCGCGUGCAGGAUGACGGCUCUACGAGUCGUAAACUGCUUUUGUACGGGGAUAAAACCCGCUACGUGUAUCGGUUUGCAGGUAUCGUACGAAUAAGGAUCGGCUAAUUCCGUGCCAGCAGCCGCGGUAAUACGGAGGAUGCGAGCGUUAUCCGGAUUUAUUGGGUUUAAAGGGUGCGUAGGCGGGUGUUUAAGUUAGUGGUUAAACGGCGCGGCUUCACCUUGCUUUGCCAUUAAUACUGUACGACUCGAGUUCAGAAGAGGCAGGCGGAAUAAGUUGAGUAGCGGUGAAAUGCUUAGAUAUAACGUAGAACCCCGAUAGCGAAGGCAGCUUACCGGACUGCGACUGACGCUGAGGCACGAGGGCGUGGGUAGCGAACAGGAUUAGAUACCCUGGUAGUC
rnacentral:rRNA from 1 species